rnacentral:rRNA from 1 species
UACGUAGGGUGCGAGCGUUAAUCGGAAUUACUGGGCGUAAAGCGUGCGCAGGCGGUUCGCCAAGUCAGGUGUGAAAUCCCCGGGCUUAACCUGGGAAUUGCGCUUGAAACUAGCGGGCUUGAGUGUGGCAGAGGGGGGUGGAAUUCCACGUGUAGCAGUGAAAUGCGUAGAGAUGUGGAGGAACACCGAUGGCGAAGGCAGGUCUCUGGGCAUUAACUGACGCUGAGGAGCGAAAGCAUGGGGAGCGAACAGG